rnacentral:snRNA from 12 species
UGGCUUUCUUGGCAGGUGGGACUUCAUCAUGAGGAAGGUGAUUUCCCCAGAGUGUGGCUCAACUCCUGUGCUCUGGGUGUGCUGGCUCUUCUGAGGUCAUCAAGUGUAGAAAACUCAGCUGCAUAAUCUGUGGUGAAAGGGGACUGUGUUUAUGCUCUCUCCUA